rnacentral:misc_RNA from 1 species
ACGGAACCAUUUCGUGACGUUAAUUCGAUCGAUCCGAAUUUCCAACUUCACAUUUAACGCUUUAUCGACCGUUAGCUGUUCAACAGCAUACGCACGUUCCUUCCGGCAGCUCAGAUUCUUCCUGGCGCCGGCUCUGUUUUAGUUUAGACUCUCCAAUGCCAUUCUUUUUGUUCGUCGCGAACGAUAAGUUUACUAAAUAACAUGUUACUGUUCAAAUAAUGAGAAAGAUCGUCGACGACAAAAAGGGCCGAUUAAUAGGUUAUCGGUCGGGAAGGUCGGCGAUAGAAAGCCGAUUAAUAGGCUAUCGGUCGGUAGCGACGGCGAUAGAAAGCCGAUUAAUAGGCUACCGGUCGGUAGCGACGGCGAUAGAAAGCCGAUUAAUAGGCUACCGGUCAGUAAAGUGUUAACGAGUGAAAGACACGUGCGUGUUCUUAGAAGCCUGCGGAAGAAUUCUCAUAGAGAGGAAGCAUGUUUGUGAAGAUAUUAACGAGUAUCUGAAAAAUGGCCAGAUAUACAGACAGUAUAAAAAGUAUUUCCACGGUAAUUAAUUUCAACAAAUACAGCGAUCUUCGAGUUUCAAUAUGCGUCCGAAAUGGAGGUAGAAAUUGCACGUGUCAAUCUGAUGCCAUUCAGUCUUCCAUUUUAGAGCUCUCUAUUUUAAAGUGGAAAAUCAAUAUU